ncrna:Pan troglodytes (chimpanzee) microRNA ptr-mir-297 precursor
UGUAUGUAUGUGUGCAUGUGCAUGUAUGUGUGUAUACAUACAUAUGUAUUAUGUACUCAUAUAUC